ACGUAUAGUAGGGUGGAGCGAUUUUAUUUUUUUUGAAUUUUUGCUUCGGCAUACCUGUAUAAAGUUGCUAUUUUAGGUCAUUACUAAAUACGAGAAAGCUCAGUUUGUUUACGUCAAGUUUAGAGGUGCCCCCAUCAUCGUAAAGUUUUGAAAAUUUGCGCAAAUUCCAUAAAAUCGCAAACAUUGUAUAAACCCGGAAUUAUAUUCUUAGCGAUGCUUUAUUAGUGUAAACUAAACAAGAUUGAACUUGAAACGUGUUUGUUCUGAUCGGUAGGUAACGGGGUGCGGGGAAGGGGUAUUUUUUAUUUCACUCCCUCACAUCAAAGAAAUGGCAUUAGCCAACUCGCGCGCGUACACGAGCUCACUUGUUUGUCGUGCACUUAGGUACUUGACACAUCGAAUCUGACGGCUGGGAACAAAUACAUAUAUUAAAUAUGUUGCAAGUUAAAACACGACAAAUGUCAAGCUGUCCUGCCUCUGGUUUGCCAGAAAAGUUAACUGUUUCCCAGUUACCAACUUACAGCGACUGAAUAUGAAUUGAAGCCUGAUAUAACAACAAAAGAGCCAACAGUUCAUGAAAUAUCUGAAAGGCUGGCUCAAGAAGUUUUAUAAAUAUGGCAAAAAUCGUCGCUGCCAACUCUGCAAAUGCAAAGUUAUAUCGGAUUGUAACUGUCCUAAAGAAUGUCGCAUUCCCAAGGAGGAAGUUGUUUUUUUAUUGGAUCAAAGAACGACCAGAAAAAUGAUGAUAGGCGGUGUCGAUGUGGCUACAACGGCAAAAAUAAGAAAAAACAAGAAAGAAAAGAAAAAGCUUUAUAUCGCAGUAGAGAGGUAAACUAUUUUGAUAAACCUUGUUGUUCUCGUUCAUUGACUGAUGAUUUGGUAACAGAAAGCAGCAGCUCAUGCGAUAGUUUGCUUGUGCCAUCUACUAGUCCUCAGUAUAAAAACCCAGAACAGGUAAAACAUAAAGCUUCGCCACCUAAUAAAAAAAAACGAUUGAAUUUAACCUCAUUAGCUCUUGCAUGCGAUCGUACUGGAGUUUCGGAUAGAGCCGCUGCUAUUAUAGCUUCUUCUGUCUUGAAAGAUGUUGGCAUUAUUGAAACCUUGAAAAAUGUGGUCAAGAACGGUCUCAGCAUGUGUCAGAUUAUUGAUUUUCCAUGUCACACUCAAGCAGUAGAGCGCUGCAUCAAGUUGGUGACAGAAGCAUCAAAUGCAGUUUGUGGAGAUAAUAAAAGAGACGGUUUCAUUAGAGCGAGACUGCUUUCGCGUAAACGAAUACCUACUUUUAAUACGAAAAAACAGUUUGAUAUUUAAGUUUGCUUUUUUAAUGUUUAAUUUUUGCAAUAAAUAGAAAAAUUGGAUUUUUUUAUAUUUUUUAUUUUCAUCUCCUCUGGGGCACCUCAAAAUAUUGCGACUGGUAAGUCAAAUUUUGUACACUUGUUCUGAAUAUUAUAAGACAACUUUUCAUCCCUAUUCCGUUGAGAAAAAACGAUUUUUUUUUUGCUCCAUACAUUUUCGCUCCACCCUAA